AAGAGAUGAAGUCACAGCUGGAAGAGGAGCUGUCAGAGAUGUAUCCGGGCAUCGCGGAUCUUCUCCAGGAAUCCUACAAGGACGGUGGCUGGUCUGAAACACGGCAUGGCAGUUAAGAGA